rnacentral:tRNA from 1 species
AGGUUAAUAGUUUAUAUAAAAUAUUAGCUUGUCAGGCUAGAGAGAGCAAGAGCUUUGACCUA